CUGCUUAAAAUUGUGCACAAAGAUCAUUUAAGUCUGGAAAAUCCAAGAGAGGGACUGGAGACAAUGUGUGCCAUCUACAAAGAAACCCUGACCCUGAGGAAGCAGGAGAAAUUUUGUUUCAUACCAAAAUGCAGCUUCAUGAAAGCAUAGGAGAUAAAAACAGGAGAGAUGGGUAACUGCUGUGUAGUUACACAUUAAUACCUGUUAAAAGUUUAUGUGUCCUUUGGGGGGGUUACAGCUGAUCUGGACAGGUCAGAGAUGCAGCUGGGGACACAAGUCCUUUAAAAUAGGAAUGCAAUCCUUUCCCACCUUAAAAAAGGACUUCUGAUGUUUUCAGCUGGGUUUUCUUGUCUUGAACUUUGGUCAGGCUUGGCAUGGGAACACUCUGAAAUCAUUCAGCUGCUUUAUGUCCUUGGACAAAGGAAGAUAUUUUUCUGGGGUCAAUUUUAAAUUCAAAACCUGCUUGGCCAAGAACUUUUAAUGACUGAUAGUCUUUCAGCUGCCUUGUCAUAAUAAAGACACAGGGAUUAGGUGCUGUUUUCCAGUAGUUUGAAAUGCUGUACAAGGUGGCUUGUCACUCACCUUGACAAACCCAAUGUGAAGGUCCCCAGUCUCCAGAUGCUAUCCAGCUUGUGCUCAGAGACCCCAGUGAUGCUGUUAGCAUACUCCUGCCUGACUACUUUGUGAAAACAGAGGAGACAUUUACAGAACAGCUUCCUUAAUUCCUUCGGAUGCAGCUUCUGGGUCCUGAAAUGGCCCAAAAGACCGGCUGUGAAGAAACUGUGACAUAAUUUCAAUGUGCCAAACCGCAACACAGGAGGUAGAUUGGGUUCUUGAAAAAUGAAGCCCUGUACUUGAUAUAGAGCAUGAAACUGGUGCUCAGACUGUGGAAUCCAAGAGGUGCUGGUUGGGAAACACCUCUGGAGGCUUUUGGUCCAGUGACUUGCUCAGAUUAAGGUUGUGACCAGCACUAGGUCAAGCCAAUUGCAUUUUUUUUGCAGCCAAACAUGGAAAACCUCCAAGGAUGCACAUCUACCAGCCCUCUCUGAACCUUUCCAAGGCUGCUCCCCCUCCCUCAGUGCAUUUUUUUUCCCCUGACGUUGAGUUUCCCAAGCUACAACCUGUGCCCAUUGCCCCUUGUUAUAGUGUCUGUCACUGCUAAGAAGAGUUUACCUCUGUGGUCUUUAUGGCUCCCUUUCCAGUUUUUGCAGUCUGCUCCUAUUUCUCCACUGAGAAAUAGCCACCUUUUCACUAGGUAAACAGUGCUACAUUUUCUGCAAUGAGAGGGAGGGAGCUGUUAUCUUAAUAUUCAACCUAGUGUCCGCUGUAUAACCCCUAGGUCUUUUGCAGCAUUGGUAGUCUUGAAUUUGAUGGAAAAUGAAUGGGUAUGUUGGAUCUGAUAUGAAAUAUUAAAUCUCUAUUCAAGGUGACAUUUCAUAAAUUACAUGCCUGCGAAAUCAUGGAGAACUCAAAUCUUUUUCAGUAAAGAUGUUUGCUCCAACCACAAAAAACAAUUGGGGUGCCAUUCUUGGGGCAAAAGCCAGGAAGACCCAGGAUCACCAGACCUCUUGCAGGUAUAAUUUUGGUUCCAUAAACCUGCAAGUGCAUGAACUGGAAGCUGCAUUCAUUGAGUGCACAGGGCAGAUGCUGAUAGAAUGUACUGCUCUUAUCUCAUCCUAGUACACAUAAAGCCUGAAUGUGGCCCAUUAUGUUCCCUAUCAAGACACACUUAAAUAGGAAAUUUGGUUAUGGAUUCAAGAUUAGCUAAUCAAUGAAAACAAAGGACGUGUCCCUGCACUUUGUAGGGUGUUUCUGUACAGCUGUCAGACUCUCCAGAAUUUCCUGAGCUCUUGUCUGUUCCAAGCUUGUGUUUGCCUGGACGUUUGCA